AACGAACGCUGGCGGCGCGCCUAACACAUGCAAGUCGAACGAGAAUCCGGGGCAACCCGGUAGUAAAGUGGCAAACGGGUGAGGAAUACAUGGGUAACCUACCCUUGAGAAGGGAAUAACCCGCCGAAAGGUGAGCUAAUACCCUAUACGCUAUCUUUUUUUCGAAAAGGAUAGGAAAGCCGGGUCGAGGACCUGGUACUCAAGGAGGGGCUCAUGUCCUAUCAGCUUGUUGGUGGGGUAACGGCCUACCAAGGCUACGACGGGUAGCUGGUCUGAGAGGAUGAUCAGCCACACUGGCACUGAGAUACGGGCCAGACUCCUACGGGAGGCAGCAGUGAGGAAUAUUGCGCAAUGGGCGAAAGCCUGACGCAGCGACGCCGCGUGGGGGAUGAAGGUUUUCGGAUCGUAAACCCUUUCAUGAGGAAAGAUAAAGUGGGUAACCACUUAGACGGUACCUCAAGAAGAAGCCACGGCUAACUUCGUG
rnacentral:rRNA from 1 species